rnacentral:piRNA from 1 species
UACAUGGCUUGGACUUUCUCACCC